rnacentral:rRNA from 1 species
AUUGAACGCUGGCGGCAGGCCUAACACAUGCAAGUCGAGCGGAUGAAGGGAGCUUGCUCCUGGAUUCAGCGGCGGACGGGUGAGUAAUGCCUAGGAAUCUGCCUGGUAGUGGGGGAUAACGUCCGGAAACGGGCGCUAAUACCGCAUACGUCCUGAGGGAGAAAGUGGGGGAUCUUCGGGCCUCACGCUAUCAGAUGAGCCUAGGUCGGAUUAGCUAGUUGGUGGGGUAAAGGCCUACCAAGGCGACGAUCCGUAACUGGUCUGAGAGGAUGAUCAGUCACACUGGAACUGAGACACGGUCCAGACUCCUACGGGAGGCAGCAGUGGGGAAUAUUGGACAAUGGGCGAAAGCCUGAUCCAGCCAUGCCGCGUGUGUGAAGAAGGUCUUCGGAUUGUAAAGCACUUUAAGUUGGGAGGAAGAGCAGUAAGUUAAUACCUUGCUGUUUUGACGUUACCAACAGAAUAAGCACCGGCUAACUUCGUG